rnacentral:rRNA from 1 species
GAUGAACGCUGGCGGCGUGCUUAACACAUGCAAGUCGAACGAAGCAGUUCUUUUGGAAGUCUCCCAGCUUGCUGGGAGCCGGACAUGUGAAUUGACUGAGUGGCGGACAGGUGAGUAACGCGUGGGUAACCUGCCCUAUGCAGGGGGAUAACAGUUAGAAAUGACUGCUAAUACCGCAUAAGACCACAGUACCGCAUGGUACAGGGGUAAAAACUCCGGUGGCAUAGGAUGGACCCGCGUCUAAUUAGCUGGUUGGUGAGGUAAUGGCUCACCAAGGCGUCGAUCAGUAGCCGACCUGAGAGGGUGACCGGCCACAUUGGGACUGAGACACGGCCCAAACUCCUACGGGAGGCAGCAGUGGGGAAUAUUGCACAAUGGGGGCAACCCUGAUGCAGCCAUGCCG